AGUUUCGAGGUAGUGACGAGAAAUAACAAUACAGGGCAUUUUAUGCUCUGUAAUUGGAAUGAUGGGAAUGUAAAACCCUUCCAGAGUAACAAUUGGAGGGCAAGUCUGGUGCCAGCAGCCGCGGUAAUUCCAGCUCCAAUAGUGUAUAUUAGAGUUGUUGCAGUUAAAAAGCUCGUAGUUGGAUUUCUGUCGUGGUCAUCCGGCUCCGCCCGUAUGGGUGUGCGCCUGGUUUGCCCUCGGCUUUCUUCCGGUAGCCUUCCGCGCUUCACUGCGUGUGUUGGUGUUCUGGAACUUUUACUUUGAGAAAAAUAGAGUGUUUCAAGCAGGCUUGUCGCCCUGAAUACUUCAGCAUGGAAUAAUAAGAUAGGACC
rnacentral:rRNA from 1 species